rnacentral:rRNA from 1 species
UACGGGGGGGGUAAGCGUUGUUCGGAAUUACUGGGCGUAAAGGGCUCGUAGGCGGCCAACUAAGUCAGACGUGAAAUCCCUCAGCUUAACUGGGGAACUGCGUCUGAUACUGGAUGGCUUGGAUUUGGGAGAGGGAUGCGGAAUUCCAGGUGUAGCGGUGAAAUGCGCAGAUAUCAGGAAGAACACCUAUGGCGAAGGCAGCUCUCUGGGACGGUACUGACGCUGAGACGCGAAAGCGUGGGGAGCGAACAGG